UGAUGGUGUGUUGUCGCGCAGAUUGAACGGAGAUGUUGCCGGGGAUGGCCUACCAUAUUGAAAUUACACGUCCUUCUAAUCUUCAUUGCAAUUACCCUCUCUUGUCUUUUCCUGAAAUAUAUAAGAAAUUCAUUUAACUUCGUCUUCAAGUGUUCUCUCGAUCAAUCCAAAGCCAGCUUCUCACUCCAUCGCUUCCUUCAAACUCUCUUCUUUCUCAGUCGCUUUGAGUUCCGAAACAAAACAAGGCAUGGCUGCAGCAGCUGUGGGACAAGCUUUGCUCUCUGCUUCUGUCCAGACCUUACUGGAUAGGAUCACCUCGAGCGAGUUUCGAGAUUUCAUGAACAACAGAAAGCUGAAUGUCUCUCUCAUGGAUGAGAUGAAGAUUACUCUGUUGAUGCUCGAUGCUGUCCUCAACGACGCAGAAGAGAAGAUGAUCACAAACCAUGUAGUCAAGGAGUGGCUUGAAGAGUUGAAAGAUGCUGUCUAUGAUGCGGAGGAUUUACUGGAUGAGAUCAACACUGAGUCUCUCAGAUCCAAGGUUGGAAAAGAUUCUCAAAACGUCGCUAACAAGGUGCGAUCCUUCUUUUCUUCUUGUUUUGAUGAAUUUAAUUGGAGGAUGAACUCCAGGCUAGAAGCAACAUGCCGAAGGCUCGAACACUUUGCCAAGCAGAAGGAUAUCCUUGGUUUACAAAGCGUUAGCGUGGGAGUGCAUAAAACACCUUCAACUUCAUUGGUAAAUGAAUCCGAUGUGGUUGGUAGAGAGGAUGAUAAGGAGAAGCUAAUGAAAAUGCUUCUGGGUGAUGAAGAUCCAAAGGGUAAUGGCAUAGGAGUGAUCACUAUCUGGGGAAUGGGAGGGUUGGGUAAAACCACCCUUGCUCAGCUCCUUUACAAUGAUGAGAAGGUGCAGAAGCAUUUCGAUUCGAAGGCUUGGGCAUGUGUUUCGGAUGAUUUUAGUGUUUUAGAGGUGACAAGGAAUCUUCUUGAGUCCGUCACUUCAAAAGUCUAUGAGAGUAAAAAUCUAGACUCUCUUCGUGUUGAAUUAAAAAAUAGCUUGACUAAUAAAAGGUUUUUGAUCGUGUUGGAUGAUUUGUGGAAUGAGAAAUAUAGUCAUUGGGAGGACCUUGUAACCCCUUUUCACAGUGGAAGAAGGGGAAGCAUAAUCAUCGUAACAACUCGUCAAAAAAGAGUUGUUGAAAUCACACACACCUUCCCUGUACAUGAGUUGCGUUGUCUCUCGGAUGAUAAUUGUUGGCUUUUACUCUCGAAGCAUGCAUUUGCAAAUGAAGAUCCGAACAAAUAUCCAGAGCUAGGAGCAAUCGGUAAGCAAAUUGCAAGAAAAUGUGGUGGCCUCCCAAUUGCUGUCAAAACCAUUGGAGGUCUUUUGCGUUCAAAAGUGGAUGAAAAGGAAUGGAAUAAAAUUCUAAAUAGCAACCAGUGGGACAUACCAAAUGAUGAUGUUAUGCCUGCUUUGCGUCUGAGUUAUCUCUAUCUUCCAUCACAUUUGAAGAAAUGCUUUGCUUAUUGCUCAAUCUUCCCUAAAGAUAUGUUGCUAAAGAAAAAGAAAUUGGCCUUGUUAUGGAUGGCAGAAGGCUUUGUACACCAACAAUCCCACGGGGAGAACACAUAUGAAAUGCAAGCAGAUGACUACUUUGAUGAAUUAUUGUGUAGGUCAUUCUUUCAACAAGAUGGUGGUGAUCGAAGAAAGUUUGUCAUGCAUGAUCUCAUCAACGAUUUAGCCAAAGUUGUAUCUGGAAAGAGUUGCCUAUGGUUUGAAGGCCAAAAAAUUUCAAAACCUACUCUUCGUCAUUUAUCAUAUCCUAGGCAACAGCAUGACGGCUCUAAAAGGUUUGAGAACUUUUAUCAAUUAAAUUGUUUGAGGACUUUUUUACCCCAAUCUAUAUACGGUGAGAUAAUAUGUUGUUCAUUGACCAGAAAGGUACCACAGGAUUUGUUGCCAAAACUAAAAUGUUUAAGAGUACUAUCUUUGUUUGGCUAUCAAAAUGUCAAUGAGCUACCUGAUUCAAUUGGUAAUUUGCAACAUUUGCGAUAUCUAGACCUUUCUUGGAGUGGAAUUGAAAGAUUUCCUGAUGCGGUCUUUACACUUUACAAUUUGCAGACAUUGCUUUUAUCAAAUUGUCAUUGUUUUAAGGAAUUGCCGGGAAAGAUAGAAAGGCUUAUUAAUCUACGUCACUUGGACAUUAGUGGCACCGCUUUAAAGGAGAUGCCUGGACAAAUUACAAGACUAGAAAAUCUUCAAAGUUUGAGUAACUUUAUGGUGGGCAAACAACCGACUGGAUUGGGAAUUAAAGAGUUAAAAAAGCUCCCUUGUCUGGAAGGUAAACUUUCCCUUUCAAAACUAGAAAAUAUUGUUGAUUCAAUGGAUGUUUUGGAGGCAAACUUGAAGAGGAGAGACAAAAUCAAGGAGUUAGUGUUGCAAUGGGAUUGUGAUGCUCAAGAUUCACAAAUUGUGAAAAAUGUCCUUAGCAUGCUACAACCUUCAACAAACUUACAGCGAUUGACCAUCAACCAUUUUGGUGGCACUAACUUUCCGGAUUGGGUGGGAGAUUCUUCAUUCAAGAAUAUUGCAUAUUUAUCAGUGAGUGAUUGCAAGUAUUGCAUUUCGCUCCCGUCAUUUGGACAAUUACCUUGUCUCAAAGAAAUUGUUAUUAAAGGAAUGGAAUUAGUACAAAGAGUUGGACGUGAAUUCUAUUGCAGCAAAGGAGAGUCCUCUUCGUUUCAACCAUUUCCAUCCUUGAAAAUUCUAGAAUUUAGAGAUAUGCCUGUUUGGGAGGAAUGGAUAUCGUUUGAUGGUGAAGGUGUGAAAUUUCCUUUUCCUCAUCUCGAACGGUUGAAUUUAUAUGAUUGUCCUAUGUUGAAAGGAGACGUGCCUCAUAACCUUCCAUCAUUGACAAAAGUUUCUAUUUCUAAUUGCAAACGGUUGGACGCAAAAUCAACAGCUUUGCAUUGGAUUGCAUCUAUUGAAGAAUUAAACAUUGAGCAAGGGGAACAGGGGUUGUUGGGAGCUCUUGAUGAUUAUUCUCUGGACUCUUUGAAAUCCAUAACAAUUGAGAAGUGUGAUUGCUUGCGGUCAUUUCCAAGAAUGAUAAUAGAUAGCCACGUUCUUGUAAAGUUGUCUCUCUAUGAUAUUCCAUCGGUCAUGUCCUUUCCAAUUGAAGGUUUGCCUGCUUCUUUGCAACGUCUUCUAAUUAAACAUUGUGAGAAGUUAGAGUUCGUACCUCAAGAAUCUUUACAAAACUGCACAUCACUUGAAGUCUUGUGGAUUGAGAAUAGUUGUCGUUCCUUAGCAUCCUUUCCAUUAGGUUGUUUUCCCAAGCUUAAACACCUUAGCAUUCACAAAUGUCAUAAUUUGGAGACCUUUACAAAUGUUGGGGGUUCUACUCUUCCCUUGGAAACUUUUUCGAUUCAAAGUUGCAAAAAACUUAGAUCAAUGUCAGAAGUACACAUUGAUUCCCUUGCCAACCUUCAAAGUUUUCAACUAACAAGGUUUCCGAAUUUGGAAUCAUUGCCUCAAGGUGGUUUGCCUUCUAAUUUACGAUCUUUGGAAAUUAAUGACUGUGAGGGACUAUCUUGUAUACCAAUUGAAGAUUGGGGUUUUCAACGGCUGACUUCUUUCUCAACAUUGUGGGUUGAAGGUGAUGGAAGUGAAACUAUACUCCAUAAUUUACUAAACAAUCAAUCACUGCCCAACUCUCUUUUGGAUAUCUACAUAGGGGACUUCUCUAAUCUUAAACGGUUAGAUGGAAAAGGGCUUCGGCACCUUACUUCUCUCGAACUUCUCUCCAUCAGGAACUGUCCAAACCUUGAAUCCUUGCCAGAAGAUGCGCUGCCACCCUCUCUUCUUGAGCUAGAUAUCAGCGAGUGUCCUAAAUUAGAAGAAAGAUAUAAUUUUGAAGGAGGAAAACACUUGUCUGACAUCUCUCAUAUUCCAACCGUAAUAAUUAAUGGUGAAGUACUAUGAUCUUGGAGAUGGUGCGGCAUUGCGUCAAAAGGUUAAAGAAGAUGAGGAAGCAGUCAAAAAGAGACAAAUAUGAUAUGCAGGGAAGGCAGGGAAGAAGCUAACCCAGACAUUGUUGAGGCUAAGUACAGAAUAUUAUAGGCUUUUCAAUAUGCAAAGCAAUGGCCAAGUGUCUACUGAAAAUAUCACAUGUCAGGUGAAGAAAUCAAUUAGAAUUGCUCUGUUUUAAACAGAGUCAUAUGAGAAGCGAAGAAGGCAGUUGUGCAGAAAGUUGAUUCUUGCGUGUUGCUUCCUUCACAAUAGUCACGAGGCAGAAUUUUAUUUCCUCAUCAAUUUCUGUGUUACCUCAGCAACAAUAAACACAACAAAGACCUCUACUGACAUACAUUUUUUCUUGAAGAUUACAUGACAUACACACCUUCCAGGCAUUUCAAGGGAACAACAAAUAAUUGACAAUGUUUAUGGAGGAAAUUAGCUGUUGGGACCAAGAAAAGAAGGAAAGUUAAACAUGACAAAAUACAAAAAGAGAACUGAUGUUGAUGAAUGAUUUACAAAGAGAUGAGGAUUGAAUUUGAAGAUGCAAGCAGAUUAGUAUUUAACCCAGCUUAAUUGUGUACUUCCUAAAUAUCAUUGCUCGAAUUUGAGUAUUUGGGUGCUUAGAAUGUUUUUGCUACCUAGCCUUUUCAAUAGAAAUUUCUAAUAAACUACUUUCACAUUUGUUUUAUUAGUUUUGGGUAAGUUGGGUAAAACCAUGUAUGCUAAUUUUCGGUGAGUUUUGUUAAAAAAAAAAAAUUAGAAUUGUGAGUGAGCUCAAUGUGUUACUUACAGGCAUUGUAAUUGGAUUUUUAUAGUGGGAAAAUCUCUUGAGUGUUUCUCAAGAGGACUGGACGUAGGUCAGGGGACCGAACCAGGAUAAUUCUUGUGGUGCAUGAUUCUCUCUCUUCCAACUUCUCUCAUUUAUAAGCUAACUUAUUUAUCUACAC